rnacentral:rRNA from 1 species
GGGGAAUAUUGCGCAAUGGGGGGAACCCUGACGCAGCGACGCCGCGUGAGCGAAGAAGGCCUUCGGGUCGUAAAGCUCUGUUCUUGGGGGCGAAGGAAGUGACGGUACCCAAGGAGAAAGCCCCGGCUAACUACGUGCCAGCAGCCGCGGUAAUACGUAGGGGGCAAGCGUUGUCCGGAAUUACUGGGCGUAAAGGGCGUGUAGGCGGCCAUGUAUGUCAGAUGUGAAAUGCCACGGCUUAACCGAGGCACUGCAUAUGAAACUGCAUGGCUUGAGUGCAGGAGAGGGAAGUGGAAUUCCUAGUGUAGCGGUGAAAUGCGUAGAUAUUAGGAGGAACACCAGUGGCGAAGGCGACUUCCUGGACUGUAACUGACGCUGAGGCGCGAAAGCGUGGGUAGCAAAC